AGUGAACGCUGGCGGCGUGCCUAAUACAUGCAAGUCGAACGGAGUGGCGCACGGGUGAGUAAUAUAUAGCUAACCUGCCCCUUGAUGGAGGACAACAGUUAGAAAUGACUGCUAUUACUCCUUAUCAAGGGAUGAGACUAUAUCGUAUCAGCUAGUCGGUGGGGUAACGGCCUACCGAGGCUAUGAUGCGUAACUGGUCUGAGAGGAUGAUCAGUCACAUUGGACAUGAGACACGGUCUAAACUUCUUCGGGAUGCAGCAGUAGGGAAUAUUGCGCAAUGCGGGAAACCCUGACGCAGCAUCGGCGCGUGGAGGAUGACACUUUUCGAAGCGUAAACUCCUUUUGUUAGGGAAGCGGUACCUAACGAAUAAGCACCGGCUAACUCCGUGCCAGCAGCCGCGGUAAUAC
rnacentral:rRNA from 1 species